rnacentral:rRNA from 1 species
CGCCUUGCCAGCCCGCUCAGAACUAAGGAAUUGACGGGACCCGCACAAGCGGUGGAUCAUGUUGUUUAAUUCGAUGAUACGCGAAGAACCUUACCAGGUCUUGACAUCCCCCGCGAUGCUUUAGAGAUAAAGCGGAGGUAUUCGGGGAGACAGGUGGUGCAUGGUUGUCGUCAGCUCGUGUCGUGAGAUGUUGGGUUAAGUCCCGCAACGAGCGCAACCCCUAUUGCUAGUUACCAUCAUUAAGUUGGGGACUCUAGCGAGACUGCCAGUGAUAAACUGGAGGAAGGUGGGGACGACGUCAAGUCAUCAUGGCCCUUAUGUCCUGGGCUACACACGUGCUACAAUGGCCGGUACAGAGCGCAGCGAAGCCGCGAGGCAAAGCGAAUCGCAAAAAGCCGGUCUCAGUACGGAUUGGAGUCUGAAACCCGACUCCAUGAAGUUGGAAUCGCUAGUAAUCGCGCAUCAGCAUGGCGCGGUGAAUACGUUCCCGGGCCUU